GAUGAACGCUGGCGGCGUGCUUAACACAUGCAAGUCGAACGAUGAAGCCCAGCUUGCUGGGUGGAUUAGUGGCGAACGGGUGAGUAACACGUGAGUAACCUGCCCUUGACUCUGGGAUAAGCCUGGGAAACUGGGUCUAAUACUGGAUAUGACUUCUCAUCGCAUGGUGGGGGGUGGAAAGAUUUAUUGGUCUUGGAUGGACUCGCGGCCUAUCAGCUUGUUUGUGAGAUAAUGGCUCACCAAGGCGACGACGGGUAGCCGGCCUGAGAGGGUGACCGGCCACACUGGGACUGAGACAAGGCCCAGACUCCUACGGGAGGCAACAGUGGGGAAUAUUGCACAAUGGGCGCAAGCCUGAUGCAGCGACGCCGCGUGAGGAAUGACGGCCUUCGAGUUAUAAACCUCUGUCAAUAGGGAAGAAGCGAGAGUGACGGUACCUGCAGAAGAAGCGCCGGCUAACUACGUG
rnacentral:rRNA from 1 species